CUCUGGCCCAGGAGAAAGGAGCUGUGCCAGAAGCCUGGGGUUUGAACAUUAACUGUCCUGCUAAAGCCUGCCAGCCAUGUGCUCUCCAUGCUCCCCAAGGACUAUUUUACUCUUUGCAAGGGGAAAGAAUUAAAGACUCCCUUUUCCGCAAAAAUACCAUGGAGGUGUUUAGCACAUACUCUUCCCCGGCUAUCCGUGCCACUGACGCAGUCCCACCCCCCUGUCAGAGGGUGCCUGGCAAGAGGUCAGCAACAAAUGAGCCAGACCAGGAUUAUCAGGAUCCAGAUGUAGGUGUGAAGGCCAGGAAAGGCAAUCCAGCAGGGCGGGAAGCAUCUGGAAGAUCCAUGCCUCCCUCAAGGCUUCAGGGGAUGGAGGUCAUCCUGUCUGGUCUCAGACAACAAAGCUCCAGCCAUGAGCUCCAAGGACCUGAUGCAGAACUGUCAACCACAGCAGCACAAAGAAGAGCAAGACAGGACUUCAGCCGACUGAGAGCAGAGAAAUACACCCGGGGGUGGAGAAACGGGAAGGUCCAUCCCAGGAGUAAGGCUUGGCCACAAGAUCAUGGACACUGGAACUUCAGGGAACCUUAGAGAGUCCUUCAGCUCUCUGGUUCUAGGGAUCAGUAAAUGGGCCUAGGAAGGCUGAAUGAAUUGCCAGAGGUCACAACACGAACUAGGGAGGGAAACCCAGGAGUUCUGACUCCCCUUCCAGUGCUCUUUCCAUGGUACCACCUCAAGGCUUGGGAUUCUGCCACAUGCCUGGUCCUACUAUUAUGAAACAUCUACUUUAGGUGGGGCACUGUGAUAAACCUGAACUUGGGAAAAGCCCAGCUCUAGA